AUGGAUUGAAGAUUGUAAACAGUUUAUUUAAUUUUAAUUAACAUUUGAAUAAUUAAAUUUAAUUAAAGAGCACCUAUUAUGGGAUACACGUUUUUAAACAUCAUUUUGUGUGUAAGUGUGUAUUAGUACAUGCUAACGAUAUUCAAAAAGUACAUACCUCAAAGAAAACGAUGACGCGAGUUAUCGUCUCUAACGUUCGAGGACUACAAAAAACACUCGGAUUGUAGGCAACAGUUUACUUCCUGGGAUUAGUGACGUAGAUAAGACCAACAUUAUCAUAGUUCAGCCCUCUCUGCUUUGCUUGGGUACGCCCUCAAAGACGAGGGUGGGGAGCGCCGAGUCAGAAGAGAGCUAAAAUGGCGGAGGUUGGGAGUCCCUGCUUUUACUCUGUUUGCAAACUCUUGUUUCAUCGUUUAAGCGAUUAAAUCUCUCGAGUAGACGCUGUCUCUUUAGAUGCAAGGGCAAAAUAGCACUUUAUGGACUUCCACAGAGGACAUCAUGUUUAAUACGGUUCCGGAAAAAUCCAGUCAGAAGUUGUUCACGGAGUUUUCACAAUAACUGCUUCUCAUGAACCGAAGCUGGAUUUGCGCGACGUCUCCUCCUGAAAGUUGGAUUACUGUGCACUUCUGGAUCACAGGCUAUUCGCAGCUGGACACAUCCUUCUACACUGUAUGCAAACAUGCAACAUCAUAACACACAGUACAAGGAGUCAGACUGGCAUAUGAGGAGCAAAGGAACCCAGACAGUAGCAUCGUUUCACAAUGUUUCCAUCACCAUCAUCAGUGGAUGCCUUUGCCGUCCGUAGCCUGAGAUUUCAGAUUUGCAGCAAAAAAAUUUGAUUUUCUCAUUUAUUGGAAUGCUAUGCAGGUUGUACCUUGCAGCCAUCCAUUACAAUGUCACCAAGCCGUAACAAAAGCAGGAGAGGGAAAGUACAAGGCUAUGUUCCCAAAACACACAAAUGACAUACCUUAUGUGGAUGAUGUGAUCAGGCUUGUGUUUGAUGAGGUAUUUGAAGAUAAGCUGAAGGAAACCCCGAUUCCAAUGGACCUGGCAUCACAGUUUGAGAAACCUUCAAAGGAGGACGUGAUUGCAUGCCAUCUUCAGUGCA